UCCUUUUUCCUUUUAUGCAAGUUGGCAUAAAAUGUAAUGUUUUUGUUUUUGUUUUUUAGUAGUAUUGUAUAUUUGCAUUAUUUGCUUCAGAUUAAGGGUGGACAUUCGGAUUUGAUUAGUAUUUGUUCAGAUUUUGAGUGUUAGGGUCAAAAGUUUUAGUUUUAAUCGGAUAUUUAUAAAUUUUAGUUUGGGUACAAUUGAUAUUUGCAAGUCUUUGGAAACUUUUUCCAUUUCAGUUGAUCAUUCUGUUGAUCACCUUGAUCUUAGCCCUUGCUUCCAACGGAACCAGUCUUCAAGUCAAUUCACUCGUUUUCCAUCUGGAAGACGUAGUGAAGAGGUACCAGUAUGUGCUUGCAUUCAGAAACCUAAGAUACUGGAUACGUGUGAUCAAGGGACGAGGAUUGUCAGAUCAAUCUACACAAAGCGUUUUAGCUCCAAAACCUUGACACUAAUGGCAUUAGCUCUGUCUACGGGUGUAUAGACGAGCUAGGUAACGAAGGUCAUCCCCCGGUCAGUUCGUCAACGGUACUUGGACCCUUAUGUGUGUAUGUGUGUAUCAUUCUGUUUUUGCUACUGUCAAUUCCACUAAGCUGAGUGAAGACGUUCAAUUGUCCUUUCUUUCAUUUGAUCAUAUAACAAUAAUAUUGUCCGAGUC